UGGGGGAUCGUCUAACGGCAGGACAGCGGACUCUGACUCCGUGAAUCUAGGUUCGAAUCCUAGUCCCCCAG
rnacentral:tRNA from 1 species